ACCUGCACGAGGAGAAUAGCAACUCGAAAGAGUUAUUAAUACUCCAUAGGUUUGAGACUCAAAUUAAAGGGGCGUUCUGGGAAACUGGAGCCUCACGAGCAGAGAGGAGUAUGUCCUAUUAGGUUGUUGGUGGGGUAAAUGCCUACCAAGCCGAUGAUGGGUAGCUGGACUGAGAGGUCGACCAGCCGCAAUGGGAUUGAAAUACGGCCCAUAUUCCUACGGGAAGCAGCAGUGAGGAAUUUUUCACAAUGGACGAAAGUCUGAUGGAGCAAUACCAUGUGAACGAUGAAGGUCUUCUGAUUGUAAAGUUCUUUUAUUUAGGAAAAAAAGCUUGAAAG
rnacentral:rRNA from 1 species